GAUGAACGCUGGCGGCGUGCUUAACACAUGCAAGUCGAACGGAAAGGCUCCUGCUUGCAGGGGUACUCGAGUGGCGAACGGGUGAGUAACACGUGGGUGAUCUGCCCUGCACUUCGGGAUAAGACUGGGAAACUGGGUCUAAUACCGGAUAGGACGAUGGUUUGGAUGCCAUUGUGGAAAGUUUUUCGGUGUGGGAUGAGCUCGCGGCCUAUCACCUUGUUGGUGGGGUAAUGGCCUACCAAGGGGUCGACGGGUAGCCGGCCUGGGAGGGUGUACGGCCACAUUGGGACUGCGGUACGGCCCAGACUCCUACGGGAGGCAGCAGUCGGGAAUAUUGCACAAUGGGCGCAAGCCUGAUACAGCGACGCCGCGUGGGGGAUGACGGCCUUCGGGUUGUAAACUCCUUUCGCUGGGGACGAAGCGCAAGUGACGGUACCUGGAGAAGAAGCACCGGCUAACUACGUG
rnacentral:rRNA from 1 species